rnacentral:rRNA from 1 species
UACGUAGGGUGCGAGCGUUGUCCGGAAUUAUUGGGCGUAAAGAGCUCGUAGGCGGCUUGUCGCGUCGACUGUGAAAACCCGUGGCUCAACCAUGUGGUCUGCAGUCGAUACGGGCAGGCUAGAAUUCGGUAGGGGAGACUGGAAUUCCUGGUGUAGCGGUGAAAUGCGCAGAUAUCAGGAGGAACACCGGUGGCGAAGGCGGGUCUCUGGGCCGAUAUUGACGCUGAGGAGCGAAAGCGUGGGGAGCAAACAGG